GGGGAUCUAGCUCAGUUGGUAGAGUGCCUGCCUUGCAUGCACAAGGCCCUGGGUUUAAUCCCUAGCCCG
rnacentral:tRNA from 1 species